AUUGAACGCUGGCGGCAUGCUUUACACAUGCAAGUCGAACGGUAACAUGCGUUCUGGUGCUGCCGAGGUGCGAACGGGGGAGUAAUGCAUCGUAACGUUCCCAGUGGCGGGGGGUAACGCAUCGAAAGCUGGGCUAAUACCGCCGGUGCUCUGAUGAUUCAAGCGUGGGACCGAGCAGCAUGGUUUGGCCUCGUGCCUUUGGAGCGGCCUAUGUCGGAUGCGCUAGGUGGUGGGGUCAAGGCCUAACAAGGCGGCGAUCCGUAGCGGGUCUGAGAGGACGACCAGACACACUGGCUCUGAGAAACGGCACAGACUCCUACGCGAGGCCGCAGUGGGGACUCUUAGACGAUGCGGGCAAGCCUGAUACAGCAAAGCCGCGUACGGGCAGAAGCACUUCGGGCUGUAAACCGCUUUAGGCAGGAACGAAACGGUGCCCGCUAAUACCGGGCGAUAAUGACGGUACCUGCAGAAUAAGCACCGGCUAACUACGUG
rnacentral:rRNA from 1 species